AUUGAACGCUGGCGGCAGGCCUAACACAUGCAAGUCGAGCGAGCGGCGGACGGGUGAGUAAUGCCUGGGAAUUGCCCAGUCGAGGGGGAUAACAGUUGGAAACGACUGCUAAUACCGCAUACGAUUGGCUUGCCCCGGUGGGAUUAGCUAGUUGGUGAGGUAAUGGCUCACCAAGGCGACGAUCCCUAGCUGGUCUGAGAGGAUGGUCAGCGACACUGGAACUGAGACACGGUCAAGACUGCUACGGGAGGCAGCAGUGGGGAAUAUUGCACAAUGGGGAAAACCCUGAAGCAGCCAUGCCGCGGGUGUGAAGAAGGCCUUCGGUUUGUAAAGCACUUGCAGCGAGGAGGCGUUACUCGCAGAAGAAGCAGCGGCUAACUCCGUGCCAGCAGCCGCGGUAAUAC
rnacentral:rRNA from 1 species